UAAUUGUUAAUGUGUCCUUUCAUCAGUCCUUGAAGUGUGCUAGAAGUGUGUUACUGAAGAUCCAUUGAUAAAUCUAUCAACAAGAGAUAGGAGGAGUUAUUUUAAACUAUAAAUUCAAUGAACUUAUGUCAUACAGGCUUAUAAAAGUACUGGUUUGUUGAAAAAUUAUCAAAAAAAUGAUGCCAACAUAUUAUAUUUUAUCCUAUUUAGGGUAGCUAGUUGACAAGUUUACUCUUUUAUUAUUUUCAAUAUUAAAAGUUCAUUUUGUUCAUAUUUAUGUAUACUAUAUAGAAACUGUAUUGUUAUAAUUUGUUAGUUCACUAAA
rnacentral:lncRNA from 1 species